GCAAAGUCGUGAGGCGGAGCAAAACACAAAACACAGUCUCAGUUCGGAUUGUAGGCUGAAACUCGCCUACAUGAAGCUGGAGUUGCUAGUAAUCGCGAAUCAGCAUGUCGCGGUGAAUACGUUCCCGGGCCUUGUACACACCGCCCGUCACACCAUGAGAGUUGGCAAUACCCAACGUACGUGAUCUAACCCGCAAGGGAGGAAGCGUCCUAAGGUAGGGUCAGCGAUUGGGGUGAAGUCGUAACAAGGUAAC
rnacentral:rRNA from 1 species